GGUGGAGUAAUAGCCUACCAAGGCAAUGAUCUAUAGCUGAUCUGAGAGGAUGAUCAGCCACACUGGAACUGAGAUACGGUCCAGACUUCUACGGGAGGCAGCAGUGGGGAAUAUUGGACAAUGGGCGAAAGCCUGAUCCAGCCAUGUCGCAUGAGUGAAGAAGGCCUUUGGGUUGUAAAGCUCUUUUAGUGAGGAAGAUAAUGACGGUACUCACAGAAGAAGUCCUGGCUAACUCCGUGCCAGCAGCCGCGGUAAUACGGAGAGGGCUAGCGUUAUUCGGAAUUAUUGGGCGUAAAGGGCGCGUAGGCUGAUUAAUAAGUUAAAAGUGAAAUCCCGAGGCUUAACCUUGGAAUUGCUUUUAAAACUAUUAAUCUAGAGAUUGAAAGAGGAUAGAGGAAUUCCUGAUGUAGAGGUAAAAUUCGUAAAUAUUAGGAGGAACACCAGUGGCGAAGGCGUCUAUCUGGUUCAAAUCUGACGCUGAGGCGCGAAGGCGUGGGGAGCAAACAGGAUUAGAUACCCUGGUAGUCCACGCUGUAAACGAUGAAUGUUAAAUAUGGGAAGUUUACUUU
rnacentral:rRNA from 1 species